rnacentral:rRNA from 1 species
GACGAACGCUGGCGGCGUGCUUAACACAUGCAAGUCGAACGGUAAGGCCCCAGCUUGCUGGGGUACACGAGUGGCGAACGGGUGAGUAACACGUGGGUGACCUGCCCCGCACUUCGGGAUAAGCCUGGGAAACUGGGUCUAAUACCGGAUAGGACCGCACCGUGAGGGUGUGGUGGAAAGGUUUGCGGGGUGGGAUGGGCCCGCGGCCUAUCAGCUUGUUGGUGGGGUAAUGGCCUACCAAGGCGGCGACGGGUAGCCGGCCUGAGAGGGUGGACGGCCACAUUGGGACUGCGACACGGCCCAGACUCCUACGGGAGGCAGCAGUGGGGAAUAUUGCACAAUGGGCGGAAGCCUGAUGCAGCGACGCCGCGUGGGGGAUGACGGCCUUCGGGUUGUAAACUCCUUUCACCAUCGACGAAGGUUUUCUGACGGUAGAUGGAGAAGAAGCACCGGCUAACUACGUG